AUUGAACGCUGGCGGCAGGCUUAACACAUGCAAGUCGAGCGAGCAGCGGACGGGUGAGUAGUGUCUGGGAAACUGCCUGAUGGAGGGAGCUAACUAGUGUAAACGGUAGCUAAUACCGCAUACCAUCCGAUGGGCCCAGGUGGGAUUAGCGAGUAGGUGGGGUAAUGGCUCACCUAGGCGACGAUCCCUAGCUGGUCUGAGAGGAUGACCAGCCACACUGGAACUGAGACACGGUCCAGACUCCUACGGGAGGCAGCAGUGGGGAAUAGUGGACAAUGGGCGCAAGCCUGAUGGAGCCAUGCCGCGUGUGUGAAGAAGGCCUUCGGGUUGUAAAGCACUGUCAGCGAGGAGGCGUUACUCGCAGAAGAAGCACCGGCUAACUCCGUGCCAGCAGCCGCGGUAAUAC
rnacentral:rRNA from 1 species